UACGAAGGGGGCUAGCGUUGCUCGGAAUCACUGGGCGUAAAGCGCACGUAGGCGGAUUGUUAAGUCAGGGGUGAAAUCCUGGAGCUCAACUCCAGAACUGCCCUUGAUACUGGCGAUCUCGAGUUCGGGAGAGGUGAGUGGAACUGCGAGUGUAGAGGUGAAAUUCGUAGAUAUUCGCAAGAACACCAGUGGCGAAGGCGGCUCACUGGCCCGAUACUGACGCUGAGGUGCGAAAGCGUGGGGAGCAAACAGG
rnacentral:rRNA from 1 species